GGUCAACUUGCUUCCCGUCUCUACAUCUUCUGUUCUAAAAGGGAAAAUAGAUCCCCUUUCCCUUUCUGUGCUCUUUCAUGGUAGUCUUGGAAGUUUGGCUGUAUACCAAAUCGGUGGCAUGCCCAGCACCGAAGCUUUGGAGGAGAUGCUAGGCCGGCUCUGAGCGAGGAGGGGACGGGCGUUCAAGCCGCCCAUCUUGCGCCGCCCACCAGCGAGGUCGCAUCUUGCCGGUUUGGAUCUGGUGAGGCAGACCGGCCACCAGGAAGGCCACGGGAGAAUAUGAGCGAUAACUACUUGUUAGCUUCCUCAGUGCUCUGCUCUCCUACUCGUGGCACCAGGAGUGAGAGAUGUGUCGUCGGGCUGGACGACCAUUUUCUCUAUCGUCGUCUGAGCGGAGCAGAAUGUGCGGCUAUGAAUAUCUUACUACUCUCCCAAUACUCUCUGCAUUCUCCUCUUGGCUGGCAGUAUAUAUGUACUUUGUGGAGGCGAGCUAUGGGCUUCCUCAUUGUUGGUGUUGUCGGCUUCCAGCUAUAUAAGGUGCUACGGAUUUGAAUCAUUCCUACUUCCUCCAUAGCGGCUGAUUGUCUACAGGUCUUAGAGUCUUGUUGUUCUCGAAAAGUGGUGAUAUCAUAUCUUAGAAGAAGUCUGAUGCCUUACCUGAUUUGCUUAGUUUCCAUGCGCCAUUCCAGAGAGGCAGCAACUCAGAAGGUUUGGCUGGCGUCGUGACAUCUGUCAUAGUUUUGGCUGAUUUGCGUUGCAUCGUUUGUUUCAUCAUGGCGGCAACUCAGAAGAUUUCUAUAUUGUAGGUGGUCUGCUUGUCGGGCAGAUUUUGCUUCCUGGAUCUCUCACAAAAAGCAGCCCUAUAUCUAUGGAGCGAACUUCUGGCUGUACUUUGUCCAUCAUGAUGCUCUCCAGCAUAGUCCGAUCCUACCCUGAUUGCAUCCAUUGCACUUUGGUGUGGUGUUUGCCAUGCUCUCGGAUGCCGUCCAAUCACGCCCUUUUUGCAUCCAUCACACUUUGUCAUCGUGUUUAGCCUCACGUGGAGCAUGAUAUGGAUCGUGCCCAAUCUCACUUGUGUUGUAGUACAUGGAAAAAAAGUUUUGGCUUCUUGGGCGUUGCUGGACGUGGCCAGCUGGGUGUCUUUAUUUGUUCCUGUUAGCCGACCCCGAGUGGAGUUCUUUGGUUGAGUCCGUGUGUAUAGAUUUGGAAAUCCAACCACGCGUGGAGUUCUUUGGUUGAGUCCGUGUGUAGAUUUGGAACUGUGAACAGUAGAUUUCAUAUAGUAUACUCUUCUUUGACAACUACUAUAUCGGACACCUAUACUUUUUGUGUGGCAAGUAUUUGUGGUUGUCUCGGACACAUUAAAAAGGCUGGCAUGUUCAGGAUGACAGGCGUGUCAGUGGUGCGUGACAAACAAAUUAUUAGUACCUACAAUAGUUGCAUGUAACUUUUAAUAUCUUUAAAUCUCAGCCGUUACCUUAAAAAAUUAACGGUGGAGAUAAUUUAAUCUAUGUGGAUUAAUGUGAUGGCUUGUUUGUCUUUUGUCUUAAU